GCUUUAUAAAUGUGAUGGUUUUAGGUAUAAUUAACACAACUCAAUUAUAAUCUUAAAAGCAUAUGUGUGUGCGCGUGUGGCUGUGUGCACAUAUCUGACUAAAGAUUAUGGCCAAUUGCCUCCACAAAUCUUUAUAUUAGCUCUAUGAUUACUAAAUAAUUAUUUAUAGAAGCUACUUAUGGACCUUGUCUUGCCGUUAUU
rnacentral:misc_RNA from 1 species